UAACAAAGCUACAUGGGUUUGUACCGAGAUCUAGAAUCCUGAACGAAAUGAUAAAAACUUUUCUGAUUAGUUGUGUGACAAAUAGCUAUUUUAGCAGGAUUAAAAAAACUCUGACAAAUGAACUUAACUGCAACAGCAUGUUAAAUCUGGAAAGUAUAUUUCCUACUUUACAGAACAGGAUUAAAAUGCUUAGAAAUAUGUGGGUUCUGAAGUAUGAUAUUAUAGAGAUAUCAUGUGACGUUUGUAGGAUUGGGUUGCCAAUUUGUUGAUGUGCCUCGCAUACUGCGGAAAACCAGUUGAGAAGUUACAAACAGAGAGAUGAAUCGGUACACUCUGCUUUCACGCCUUUUGAUGGGCAAAAUGCCUCUUAUUUUGACUAUAUUUUUUUGUUCUGCGAUUAUCCUACUCCUAAUCACAAAAAUGCAGCCACCUGUUCUGCUAUGAAUCCACGGUUAUCUCGCUAAUACAGCAGAGAUGGGGUACUGCCCUUUAUGUGCCAUUAGGUCACACUUAAUUUGAUAAAUUUGCACGACCACUGUCAGCAGAGUCUUAUGCAGAACUAGUUGUAAUAUAUCCUAAACAUUCUUGGAUUGCAACUAAGGUCCUAAUAGCAAAAACUAAAAAUAGAACAGAAACCUAGGUCCUGGUAGCCAGGUGGGUGAGCGGAAGAAGUUGGUUUCCAAGAAGUUGUUGAUGUAUAAAGGAAAUAUAACGACUUAGGAGGACCCUGCAAUAUCUUUGGCAUGGCAAUUUAACUUCCAUUUUAUUCCUUUUUCUUUUUGUGUUUUCCAGGAGAAAUACAACAGCAUAAAGAUGCGCAACCCACCAUAUAUUUCCUUUUCAUCAAAAACAUUCACUUCAAACUACAGAUCAUAAUAGGGCAAAUUAUUUGACUUUUAAGGAUCAAAUAGAGGGGCCAAAAGGUUACAGAUCGGGAUGGUGAAAUUAAAGUAAGGCUUCCCAACUGCUUGUGAAUAUGUAAAUUGAUAUGCCAUUACUGUAUCAAUCUCUUGGCUUUCUUUUUCUGGUGUGAGAAGGUAGAAUAUUAAACAUCUUAGUUAUGUCAAAACAAAGAAAAAAAAUCAUGUGUGGUGCCAGAAAAAGAAAUAAAUAAAUGUCAACUAAAGGAUGCAAAUCAACUGUUUCAGAUAAACGAUUUUGUGCGUCCAACUAUCUACCAGCUGGACACUUUCUAGGGCCGAGUUCCCAUGCUUUUUGGACUUGAAACAUUGUUCCUACAUGUUACCAUCUAAUCACUUCUAUCUUCUCGAAAUAAAUUUUAUUUUAAUCUUCGAUAUUAGAAAACCUUGAAUUAGCAUCACCUAGAGGAUUUAAAAACAUAACGUGUGGGUAUAAUUCAGAAAAUGCUAGUGAUAUUUCCAACACACCGACCAUGUGAUGGUGCCUAGGUUAAAGUAGACACCAGAUCAUUUGGUCAUAAUGGUCAUUUUCAGAUAGAUUUUGUUAUUUGGGGACUGUUUAUAACUCUAAUCCACCUAACUCGCUCGAAACUUUUUUUACAUGGGAAAAUUCAGUCUACAUGAUUAAAAAAAUGUUGCUAGUUUAUAUAUAUAUAUAUAUAUAUAUAUAUAUAUAUACAUAAACAGAGAAAGAAACACGUCAAAGAAAUCAACACAAUCCCACGCAAUGAAUCAGGUGCUAACCUCAUCGCUGCCCCUUCCGAAGACACACAGAAGAAAAACAAUUUCCAGUGUAAUGCAUGUAUAUUUACACAAAUGGAAUGUAGAACAGAAGUGUUGUUUGUUAAUGGAUUAUUUCAUAUUUGCAUUUGAGGAAAAAGAACAAUUGUCAUUCUCUUUCUUUAUACAAACAACAUGAAACAGCGGAAUCCACUACCGAAUAUUGUAAGAUAACGAAAACUAAUAAUGCAUCGCUCAUCCUGAAGUAAACAAAGAGGAAAGAUGAUAUAUUGUUUCACAAUUGAUGGUAACAACGAGGGAAUUCCCAAGAAAAGAUAUCAAAUCAAGAUCGUAAUUGUGGGUGCUCCCACUUCAAGAACCACCCUAUAUCCAUUCAAGAUGCAACAAAUCUAAGAUUAGGUGCGUUCAAUAUCAAUCGACCAUCAAAAUCCUAAUCUCCCUAAAUAUCAACAUUACGAUAACUUAAAGGAACAAAAAACUGAGAUCCUAUUUGUAGGCCGUCACUCUACUAAAUCCGCCUGAUAUCUUGGCAACAGAUCAAGGAUUAGAUAUUGUUAGAGCUAGCCCCAAGAAAUUUACCAAAUGAUAAUUUUGGCAACCCAACAAAGACAUAAAACGGAAAAGAUCUUCCUAUCCGUAGCUACCUCCCGUAAAACCUCAUCAGAGAGAUUUAGAAUAAUCCUAGAUCGGGCCUUCUUAUCCAUACCCGCAAGAUCUUCCUUUGACAUACCAUCUGUACCAUCUGGAAUGUUCUCAAUCAACUCUGUCUUGGACCAGAAUGAUCUCCAUCUUGAGUGGCAACGUGCCGAAGUUCGAAUUUCUCGACAACAAUCUUUGUUAUUGUUAUCAUUGCCAAAAGAUCCCGAAACUAGACUCUGAUACCAGUUUGUUAGAACUAGCCCCAGAAAAUUUACCAAAGGGUAAUUUUGGCAACCCAACAAAGACAAUAAAGCGAAAAAGAUAAAAGCAACAAGAACGCCAGAUUUACGUGGUUCGGUCAAUUGACCUACAUCCACGGACGAAAGAUGAGCAAAUCACUACUAUAAAAUAAGGACUAUUACAAAUACCUUAGGAAGAUGUUCCUAGGCCAUAAAACACCCGAAUCUAUUAAACAAGAAAAACCCAAACUAUAAGCCCAAACUAUUUAACUGAGUGUGGACUUAAACCCAAAGCAAACACUUAGGGUUUUCUUGUGGUGCAUCUGACUUCAAAGCCCAAACCCUUAUUUAUAGUUCCAAUAGGAGAUAACAAGUCUGAUUUUCCCGAUGUGGGACUAUGGGACUUGCCAAACUAACAAAUCUCCACCUUGGUAUGUCCCAAUAAAACUUGCUCCACCUUCUUCAUAAAAGCCCCAACGAGCAAUCACCAACAAUAAACACCAACCAAGUCCAAGCACUGCUUGAACUUAUAAACCGGAAGAGGCUUCGUAAGUAUAUCAACUGGAUUGUCCUUCGUAUGAAUUUUCUGAACAAGGACUUUCCCCUCAGCAAUGGUAUCCCAUUUGCAUCCAAUAAUUUUAUUACCCGAAGGCGGCUUCACAAGAUCCCAAGUUCUAUUCUGAUGGAGAGAUUAUAUUUUUUCAUUCAUCGCAAUCAACCACUUAGCGGAAUUAUCAUAAGAAACUGCAUCUGAGUAGGAAGUAGGCUCACCAACUUCACUUGUUUCUUCUAUAACAGACAAAGCAUAUGCAACCAAAUUUGCAUAUCUUUGUGGUGGUCGAAUAUCUCUCCGUGGUCUAUUAUUGGCUAUGGAAUAUUGCUCUUCCUCUAGAUCAUCUUCGUUAGUAGACUCGGGACCAUCUACUGGCAUCUUUUGAGUAGAAGAGUUCAACUUAAAAAAAUCUGAACUACCAAUCUCAAGCUCCACAUGCUUCUGCGCAUUAUCAUUUGUAUAACUAGUAGAUUCCUCUUUGGAAGAUAACAUAGACAAUUAAUCAAAAGUAACAUCUCUACUGAUUACAAAUUUUGGGGAUUUGGGAUCAGAACACCAUAAUCUGUAUCCUUUCACCCCAGAAGCAUAUCCAAGGAAAAUAUAUUUUUUAGCUCGAGGCUCUAAUUUUCCUUCAUUUAUAUGCAUAUAUGCUGAACAUCCAAAAAAUUUUAAAUUAGAGUAAUCGGCAGGAGUACCUGACCAAACUUCCUCCGGAGUUUUAAAGUUAAGUGCUACAGACGAAGCGCGGUUGACAACGUAACAGGCCAUAUUAAUCGCCUUUGCCCAAAAGUCCUUUGUCAACCCUGCAUUUGAGAUCAUACACCUUGCUCUCUCCAAGAGUGUUCUGUUCAUAUGUUCGGCCACACCAUUUUGCUGAGGCGUUAUCUUAACAGUGCGAUGCCGAACGAUUCCUUCAUUUUUACAUAAUUCAUCAAAGUCACAUUCACAAAAUUCCAUGCCAUUAUCUGUUCGAAGCCGCUUAAUCUGUUUACAUGUUUGCUUCUCAAUUAAAGUCUUCCAUUGUUUAAAGGUUAGAAAAACAUCAUUUUUAUGCUUCAGAAAAUAAACCCAAAUUUUUCUGGAAUAAUCGUAAAUGAAAGUCAACAUAUACUUGGCACCAACCUUAGACUGAACAUGAGCUAGACCCCAAAGGUCUGAAUGAAUAUAGUCAAGAGUACCUUUUGUUUUGUGAACUGUCGGAGAAUUGAAGCUGACUCUUUUCUGCUUUCCAAAAACGCAGUGUUCACAAAAAUCCAGUGGCCCAGUACUCUGUCCGCAAAGUAGACCACUUUUGCUCAAUAUGCUCAAACAUUUUUCACUCAUAUGACCCAAACGCAUAUGCCAUAAUUUGGUGAUGUCAGAAUCAGAUAAUGAUGAUGACGAGAGUGCAACUAAGCCCGUGACAGUAGUUCCCUGCAAAAUAUAUAAGCUACCAGACUUACAAGUUUUCAUAACAACAAGAGCACUUCUAGAAACUUUCAUAACUCCACCUUCAGUUGUAUAUUUACACCCAAGGGCCUCUAGGGUGCCUAAAGAGAUGAGAUUCUUUUUUAAAUCAAGAACAUGUCUAACGUUAGUGAGCGUCCUCACAAUACCAUAAUGCAUUUUAAUUAAGAUUGUUCAUCUACCAACAACAUCACAUGCUGCAUUAUUGCCCAUCAAAACAAUUCCACCAUUACAAGAUUCAUAUGUAGAAAACAAAUCUCUAUUAGGACACAUAUGAUAAUAACAACCCGAAUCUAAAAUCCAUUCAUUUUUAGACCUCGUCCUGUCAUCAGUAGCAAAGAAAAUAUUUCCAUCAUUCUCAUCAGUUGCUAUACUAGCUUCAGCAAACUCAGUAAUUUUCUCAACAAUUUAUUCCUUUUGCUUUAAUUUAUUUUUAAUUUAAAGCAAUCAGCCUUAAUAUGCCCCAUUUUAUGACAAUAUCUGCAUUCCAAAUUUCUAUGUCUGGAUUUAGAUUUAGAUUUAGAUCUACUACUAUCAAAUUCUCUUUUAUCCAUUCUACCACUAACAUCCAGACUCUCAACCUGAUUCUCUCUACUUUCCCCAGUGAUAUCUUUGUCUAUCUGCUCCUUAGAUUUUAAUACAGAUUUAAUUUCCUAAUACAAAAUUGUUUCUUUUCCAUAAAUCAUAGUAUCACGAAAAUGCUUAAAAGAUUGGGGAAGAGAACACAAAAAUAACAGGACUUUAUCCUCAUCAUCAAUUUUUGCAUCUAUAUUUUCCAAAUCCAUAACCAAGGAAUCAAACUUAUCAAGAUGUAAGAGUAUAGAUGUACCUUCAGUCAUCCGAAGCAUAUACAAACUCUACUUUAAGUAGAGGCGAUUCUCUACUGUCCUCUUCAUAUACAAGGCUUUAAACUUAUCUCACAUGCUCUUAGCCGUAGUCUCCGUAGCUACCUCCUGUAAAACCUCGUCGGAGAGAUUUAGAAUAAUACUGGAUCGGGCCUUCUUAUUCAUACCCGCAAGAUCUUCCUUUGACAUACCAUCUGAAAUGUUCUCAGUUCCCUGUAGUGCCACAUACCGAAGUUGACAUUUCUGUCGAAUUUCUCGACAACAAUCUUUGUUAUUGUCAUCAUUGCCAAAAGAUCCAGAAACUAGGCUUUGAUACCAGUUUGUUAGAACUAGCCUCAGGAAAUUUACCAAUGGAUAAUUUUGACAACCAACAAAGAUAAUAAAACAAAAAAGAUAAAAGCAACAAAAACAUCUUAUUUACGUGGUUCGGUCAAUUGACUUACACACACGGACGAAAGAGGAGCAAAUCACUACUAUAAAAGAAGGACUAUUACAAAUGCCUUAGGAAGAUGUUCCUAUGCCAUAAAACACCCAAAUCUAUUAAACAAGAAAAACCCAAACUAUAAGCCCAAACUAUUUAACUGAGUGUGGACUUAAACCCAAAGCAAACACUUCGGGUUUUCUUGUGGUGCAUCUGACUUCAAAGCCCAAACCAUUAUUUAUAGUUCCAAUAGGAAAUAACAAACCUGAUUUUCUCGACGUGGGACUAUGAAACUUACCAAACUAAUUACCCACGAAGAAGACAUCGCUCACAAGAAAAUCAAAUCAAGAUUCUAAUUAUUUGUGCUCAAACUUCGAGAUCCGUUGGACAUCCACUCAACAUAUCUUAUACAGGAUCUUACACUCGGAACCUUAACUUCCCGAGUACCAAGAAGACAUCACCGUAGGACAAAACCAAGAUCCUAAUUGUUGGCGCUCGCACUAUGAAAAUCGCACGAUAGAUCUAUGAAGCUAACCAAGCGAAACCCUCCUUUCCCGAAGAAACGAACAAGAAAUCGUCCACAAGACAUCAAGACAUCGAGCCAGACAGACAAGCUCAUCGAGAUUACCUCGAAGAUUCGCAAGAUGCCUGCGGCGGCAGCAUAGGUCUCGUCGAGAACCUUGAAGAAGCAAGAACCGAGGAGGCUCCUGAUGGGCUCGGAGAGCGAAAAAACCAGAUUGAGGAGAGAAAGAGCGAUAGGCAAGCGAGGAAGUUGAGGGUUUCGCUAUUUGUGUUCGAACGGCAUAAUUCGAAUUCCUUUUUCUUUUUCCC
rnacentral:lncRNA from 1 species